rnacentral:rRNA from 1 species
UACAGGACGUCCAGCGUUUGUUCGGAUUCAUUGGGCGUAAAGGGUGCGUAGGUGGCGCUGUAAGUCGGGUGUGAAAUUUCGGAGCUUAACUCCGAAACUGCAUUCGAUACUGCGGUGCUUGAGGACUGGAGAGGAGACUGGAAUUCAUGGUGUAGCAGUGAAAUGCGUAGAGAUCAUGAGGAAGACCAGUGGCGAAGGCGGGUCUCUGGACAGUUCCUGACACUGAGGCACGAAGGCCAGGGGAGCAAACGGG